rnacentral:rRNA from 1 species
GCGGGUAGGUUACUGCGGAGGACAUUAUCGAAUUUCUGAGGGGAGGGGGAGGGAAAGAUGGAAAGCGAAGACUGUCGCUGGCCCCUCGGGGCAUGUGCACGUCUUCCUUUUCGCUGACCCUUCCUCUUUCUCUCACCACACACACCUGUGCACCCAUUGUAGGUCCUCGAAAGAGGAUCUAUGUUUUUUCACAUCACACCCGUCGUAUGUCUACAGAAUGUAAUCGAGAACGUCGUCCUGUUUCGACAGGCUGGCGGUCCAUAAAUCAUACAACUUUCAGCAACGGAUCUCUUGGCUCUCGCAUCGAUGAAGAACGCAGCGAAUUGCGAUAAGUAAUGUGAAUUGCAGAUUUUCAGUGAAUCAUCGAAUCUUUGAACGCACCUUGCGCUCCUUGGUAUUCCGAGGAGCAUGCCUGUUUGAGUGUCAUCGAAUUCUCAACCAUGUCUUGAUUUAUUUCGAGCCAUGGCUUGGACUUGGGGGUUGCUGGCGGCGCGAAGCUGUCGGCUCUCCUGAAAUGCAUUAGCAAAGGGUGGCAAGUCUUUUUGACGUGCACGGCCUUCGACGUGAUAAUGAUCGUCGUGGCUGGAGCGUCGGACAUGCAUGAAUCAUCCAGUGCUUCUAAUUAAUCCCAUCUGACCUUGGGGUCGUUCAGUCUACUAGUUGGUUGUGAGGCCGACGAACGUUGAGUGGCUGGGGGGGGUUUGGUGUCUUUUUCGAAACUUGACCUCAAAUCAGGUAGGACUACCCGCUGAACUUAAGCAUAUCAAUAAACGGGAGGAAAAA